rnacentral:sRNA from 1 species
CCCUAGCCCCGAUUGCAGUGGAAAUCCUUUUUUGCGUGGACUUCGGGUCUAUUGAUGUGAAAAUGGUCUGCAAAAAAGAUUGCAACGGAAAGCGGGAUUAAGC